GGUAGAGUUUCGAUGGCUAAACAUAGGAGUGAUAUGGUUAAAGAGACCGGUUCAGAACUAGGCCCAAUUGAUUGUUUCAAAAAAUUUCAUACAAAAAAAGAUGGAGAGACUUGGCCUGCUGAGAAAGCGAAAGAUUUAUUUGAUCAAAUGGAGAAUAUUAGGUCAACUGCAACAUCUGAGGGCUCAUUGAUCAAUGAAUGGGAAAUCUAUCGCAA